UACGGGGGGGGCAAGCGUUGUUCGGAAUUACUGGGCGUAAAGGGCUCGUAGGCGGCCAACUAAGUCAGCCGUGAAAUCCCUCGGCUUAACCGGGGAACUGCGUCUGAUACUGGAUGGCUAGAGAUUGGGAGAGGGAUGCGGAAUUCCAGGUGUAGCGGUGAAAUGCGUAGAUAUCUGGAGGAACACCGGUGGCGAAGGCGGCACCCUGGACCAACACUGACGCUGAGGAGCGAAAGCCAGGGGAGCAAACGGG
rnacentral:rRNA from 1 species